UUUCAAUCUAAGUGAAAGGUAGAAUUAAAUAACUAAUUUAAUUUCACCAUUCAUUUAACUAUCGGUUGCAAUUACGCAGAAAUUGGCCAAAGAGAAAGAAUUGCAAAGUCUCACCUCACCAAUUAGUGUCAUGUAUUUAAUGAUUUCUCUUAGUGGAUGUGCAAAACACAGUGCAUGGCCGCUGUGGAAGAAUUAAAGAAUCAGCACUUGGUAACUCAACUUUAUGUGUAGCUGACAGAAACCAGGAACCGUAUGAGGGUAUGCUAUUCGAAUCAGAAGAUGCUGCAAGAGCGUGUGAUGACGAAUAUGGUGGACAGAUAGGUUUUGCUGUAUUUUAUCAUCCCGUAAGUCAGAGCGUGAUGGUUCAAUUAUAUUGCAUGGAUUAGGAUGUAGAGGGAUUCCUGAUAAUCAUAGGUCAGAUACCAUUCUCAAUGAAAAGGGAGAAAAACGGUGGGAAGGUUGCACAGCAAUGAUUGUAGUUAAGAGAGAAAAGCCAGGGACGUGGAUUGUUCAGAAAUUUGUGAGGGACCAUAAUCAUCCCUUGGUGGUUUCACUGUCCAAGAAACGUCCAACUUUUGUAAGCUUCACACCUUUUGUUAAUUGUCGAUUUUGUUCAACUAUUUCCAUAACUUUGUCCCCCUCUCCCUCCUCAACCACCAAUAUGUGUGUGUUUGUACCCCUUUUUAGUCCUUGAAGAUUGCCAUUUCGUUGACAGUCAACAAUCAUUUUUUAGUAUAGCAAGUAAUAACGGACACGUCUACAUAAAUAUAUUUACCUUUUCAUUUU